UACGGAGGGUGCAAGCGUUAAUCGGAAUUACUGGGCGUAAAGCGCACGCAGGUGGCUGAGUAAGUCGAUUGUGAAAGCCCUGGGCUCAACCCAGGAAGUGCACUCGAAACUGGCAGGCUAGAGUACUGGAGAGGUUGGUGGAAUUCUCGGUGUAGAGGUGAAAUUCGUAGAUAUUCGGAAGAACACCAGUGGCGAAGGCGGCCUCACUGGACUGGUAUUGACGCUGAGGUGCGAAAGCGUGGGAGCAACAGG
rnacentral:rRNA from 1 species